rnacentral:rRNA from 1 species
UACGGGGGGGGCAAGCGUUGUUCGGAAUUACUGGGCGUAAAGGGCCAGUAGGCGGCCAACUAAGUCGGAUGUGAAAUCCCCAGGCUCAACUUGGGAACUGCAUCCGAUACUGGAUGGCUUGAAUUCGGGAGAGGGAUGCAGAAUUCCAGGUGUAGCGGUGAAAUGCGUAGAUAUCAGGAGGAACACCAAUUGCGAAGGCAGCUCGCUGGGACGUGACUGACGCUGAGACGCGAAAGCGUGGGGAGCAAACAGG